UAUGGCGACCGGCGCACGGGUGAGUAACACGUAUCCAACCUGCCGAUGACUCGGGGAUAGCCUUUCGAAAGAAAGAUUAAUACCCGAUGGCAUAGUUCUUCCGCAUGGUAGAACUAUUAAAGAAUUUCGGUCAUCGAUGGGGAUGCGUUCCAUUAGGUUGUUGGCGGGGUAAUGGCCCACCAAGCCUUCGAUGGAUAGGGGUUCUGAGAGGAAGGUCCCCCACAUUGGAACUGAGACACGGUCCAA
rnacentral:rRNA from 1 species